rnacentral:rRNA from 1 species
GCCAUUCCGCGUGCAGGAUGAAGGCCUCGGGUUGUAAACUGCUUUUGUACGGAACGAAAAGGUCUCUAUUAAUACUAGGGGCUCAUGACGGUACCGUAAGAAUAAGCACCGGCUAACUACGUGCCAGCAGCCGCGGUAAUACGUAGGGUGCAAGCGUUAAUCGGAAUUACUGGGCGUAAAGCGUGCGCAGGCGGUUAUGUAAGACAGAGGUGAAAUCCCCGGGCUCAACCUGGGAACUGCCUUUGUGACUGCAUAGCUAGAGUACGGUAGAGGGGGAUGGAAUUCCGCGUGUAGCAGUGAAAUGCGUAGAUAUGCGGAGGAACACCGAUGGCGAAGGCAAUCCCCUGGACCUGUACUGACGCUCAUGCACGAAAGCGUGGGGAGCAAACAGGAUUAGAUACCCUGGUAGUCCACGCCCUAAACGAUGUCAACUGGUUGUUGGGUCUUCACUGACUCAGUAACGAAGCUAACGCGUGAAGUUGACCGCCUGGGGAGUACGGCCGC